CCAUGCUCAAAACCGAGCGUCUACUCUCAUUUUAAAAACAGAAGAGCAGAAAGAGAAAGGAACGAUCGUGUCGCGAGCAUAAAUCGAAACAAAUCGAUAAAUCGGAAGGAUUAAAAGCAACAGGAGGUCUCUAUAAACAGUGAUCGAUACGGUUGACGUUAAAGCGCGAGGUAACAGUGAUCGAAUCUUGGGAAACGAGGCAGGUAAUCGUCGAGCGAAUCGCGAGCAGUUCUAGAGGGAGGAAAAAGGAAGGAGAGCGAAAGGUGUGGGACGACGAAGCGGGGAAAUGAAACCGAUAAGGCGAUUCGAGGCUAACCUUCGCGGCGGAGAAAGAGAAAAGUGAAUUGGGGCAAAGGUCUCUGACAUCGUGGCUGGCCGUGGGAGAGGAACAAGCCACGGAGAAGUGGUACGACCGGCUUCUAGAGGAGAGAGAGCGAAGUACCACUAUAGUUUGUCGUGACAGCUUCACAAUUAAUUAAAAAAAUCGAUAAUAAGGAUGAUUAAGAGAACGUCAGCAUCCAACUGAACAAAACGAAAAAUUUGUAACGCUAUAAGGUAAAUUUCGGGAACGAUAAGGAGGUUAUAGCUGCUAAGAUAAUUUCGAUGAUGGAAGACAC
rnacentral:misc_RNA from 1 species